rnacentral:rRNA from 1 species
CCUACGGGAGGCAGCAGUGAGGAAUAUUGGUCAAUGGGCGGGAGCCUGAACCAGCCAAGUCGCGUGAGGGAAGACGGUCCUACGGAUUGUAAACCUCUUUUGCCGGGGAGCAACGGGGUCCUUGCGAGGGCCCGAUGAGAGUACCCGGAGAAAAAGAAUCGGCUAACUCCGUGCCAGCAGCCGCGGUAGUACGGAGGAUGCGAUCGUUAUCCGGAUUUUUUGGGUUAAAGGGGUGCGUAGGCGGGCUGUUAAGUCGGCGGUAAAAUGUCGGGGCUCAACCCCGGCCUGCCGUUGAAACUGGCGGCCUCGAGUGGGGUAGAAGUAUGCGGAAUGCGUGGUGUAGCGGUGAAAUGCAUAGAGAUCACGCAGAACUCCGAUUGCGAAGGCAGCAUACCGGCGCCCGACUGACGCUGAGGCACGAAAGCGUGGGUAUCGAACAGGAUUAGAUACCCGAGUAGUC